rnacentral:sRNA from 1 species
UGCAUCUGAGGCCAGUGAGGAUGAGAACCUCCGGGGGCAGGAGGUUCGACUCGAGCGAAGCGAGAGAACGUUGCGUCAGCAACGGCCC